GCUCUUGUUUUGCUGACAUGAAGAUGUCCUGUUUACACGACUGACGUCACGGACGUGACACGAUCUGUGUUUCUAUUCCGGAUUCUCUUCUUAUGUAUAAAGUAUACCUUUCACCUGGCUAUUACCGUUACUACUGUCUGUAACUUGGACGAACAAACUGAGGUGAUUUUUUUAUUCCAUUGUAAAACUUUGGGAUAUUUAGAAAUCUAUCUGCAGUACACACACAUCUUCUUUUCAUUUAUUUUGCAACUUAAAAGUGUACAAGGAGCAAAGGGAGUAGCUACUAAGACAUCAUGAUGAUUACUUAUGCGGUCAUCGUGGCCAUCAUUGGUCAACUGGUCAGUGCUGACCUACAACAA
rnacentral:sRNA from 1 species